UACAGAGGGGGCAAGCGUUGUCCGGAAUUACUGGGCGUACAGCGCGCGCAGGCGGACCGCCACGUGCCGUGUGACAAGCCACUGCUCAACAGUGGAGGGCCAGGGUACACGAGCGGUCUGGAGGCAGGGAGAGGGAUGUGGAAUGCCCGGUGGAGCGGUGAAAUGCGUAGAGAUCGGGCGGAACACCAGCGGCGAAGGCGGCAUCCUGGUCCUGUUCUGACGUUGAGGCGCGAGAGCGUGGGGAGCGAACUGG
rnacentral:rRNA from 1 species